CAAUCAACUAGAAAGCUUUUUUUACUGUACCUGCCAAACUCUAAAGCCAAGAAUGUUCCCAUCAUAAAUUAUUUUAAAACAACUUCUUGAACCAAAAUAUUUUAUGUUACCCAAAGUUUUCAGGUUCUAAAGUUUCUCACCUGUACCACUGGAGGGGAUAGGUUAUACCGAUUACUAUAGACAAUUGAUUUAUACAAAUGGAUAGAUACAGUGUAGGUAUCUGGAUGGAUUCAUUAAGAUUCUUGAUUUUAACAAACACUUACAGUAUUCUGGGCUUCUGAGGGGAUCCCAAAGAAAGGCAGUACCCACUGCUGUUUUCUUAGAGACUGCUGUUUACUUAGGCCCUCUAAAAUCAACAAUAAUACUAAAUUGAACUACAUAGGUUAAAAAUAUCAGCGAUUUCAUGUGGCUCAAACUAAUAGCUAUAACAUAAACAUGUCAAACACGGUAACUGCCAUAUGAAAACUGAAAUAUAAGUAUUACCAAAUUUUAAAGGUGUAGGAGAAACAGCUGAGUGAAAGUCACCAAUAAAGAUUUCUGGGUGAGUUGAAACUCAAGUGGGAUUCUGGAGAUAAGAAUGAGCGUGAGAGGUGUGUGGGAGCAAGCAUAGGGUCCUAUUCCUG
rnacentral:lncRNA from 1 species